rnacentral:lncRNA from 1 species
UAUAUCAAAUUAUAUAAUUUGUGUAAACCUGAAUCUAGUGACCAGCAAACUUGAAUUUUAAACCCAAACUUCCUUGAAACCUAUUUUCUUUCUUUUUUUUUUUUUUUAAGUUUUAUUUAUUUUGAGAGAGCUUGCAUGCAAGCAGGGUGAGGGGCAGAGAGAGAGGGAAAGAGAGAGAGAGAAUCCCAAGCAGGCUCCACGAUAUCAGCAUGGAGCCCCAUGUGGGGCUCAAUAUCAUGAACCCUGAGAUCAUGACUUGAGCUGAAAUUGAGUUGGAUGCUUAACCAACUAGUGAAGCCACCCAGGUGCCUGGAAAACUAUUUUAUUUCUAACUACAUCAUAUUAGGUUUUCAUCUUAAAUACACAUUGCAACAAGAAUGAAAAUUAAAGAGCAGCAGUUCCUCUUCCAAACUCUGUAGUUCAUGGCAGAUUGUGCUGAGGAAAACUUUCAUAAAUGCUAAUCUUUACCAUCAGAAGUGGACACUACCUGUCAGGAAAAUGCAAGAGCUCUGAGUAAGCCAGGGUAUUUUUUGUUUUUGUUUUUGUUUUUUAAUUUUAUUGUUAUGGACUAAAAAACUUUGCAGUUAGAACAUUUAGCCACCAACCAUCAUGACUCUCUGGAUUUGAUGAAGUAAUAUUGCUUGCUUCUCUCUCCAUGCCCAGAGAAGGGACUUAAUUUUUCCCUUAUUUUUUCCCAUUCAGGAAGCAGUGACUUACCUACCCCCUGAUUGGUGAAUUUGCAGUUCGAAAGUCUUCUUUUCUCUUCCUCCUGCUGAGUUCUACCUGACUGCAGUCCCCUGCUUUCUCUCCUGUCCACUUGCCCUGAAAUACUUUCUUUUUUUUUUUUUUUUUUUUUUUUUUUUUUUUUUUUUUUUUUUUUUUUUUUUUUUUUUUUUUUUUUUUUUUUUUUUUUUUUUUUUUUUGCUUUCUCUCCUGUCCACUUGCCCUGAAAUACUUGCCUCAAAAUCUGCAUCUGGGAAACACACAUAAAGGCUACAUCUUCACUGCUACACUUGUCCACACCACCAUUAUCUCUGGUCUGGAUUUUUAAGGUAAUUUGUGGAAUUUUUGUCUUGUUUUCGUCUUUGCAGUUCCUGCAAAAUAUUCUCACUUCACCAGCUAGAAUGUUUCCUACAAACUUUUUCAAAUUAUGUCACUUCUCUGACCAAAAUCUUUGUUAACACCCCCCCCCCAUUUAUUAGGGUGCCUGGUGUCUCAGUCGGUUAAGUGACCAACUUCUGCUCAGGUCAUGAUCUCACAGUUCAUGGGUUCAAGCCCCGCUUCGGGCUCUGUGCUGAUAGCUCAGAGCCUGGAGCCUGCUUCCAACUAUGUGUCACCCUCACUCUCUG